rnacentral:rRNA from 1 species
AGUGAUGAAGGCCUUCGGGUCGUAAAACUCUGUCCUCAAGGAAGAUAAUGACGGUACUUGAGGAGGAUGCCCCGGCUAACUACGUGCUAGCAGACGCGGUACUACGGAGGUGGCUUGAGUUAUCCGGCUUUACUGGGUGUAAAGGGUGCGUAGGCGGUCUUUCAAGUCAGGAGUGAAAGGCUACGGCUCAACCGUAGUAAGCUCUUGAAACUGGGAGACUUGAGUGCAGGAGAGGAGAGUGGAAUUCCUAGUGUAGCGGUGAAAUGCGUAGAUAUUAGGAGGAACACCAGUUGCGAAGGCGGCUCUCUGGACUGUAACUGACGCUGAGGCACGAAAGCGUGGGGAGCAAACAGGAUUAGAUACCCUG